GCUGGCCUGAAUACUGGUGGAUCUGCAUGUGUGAGCAUGUGAGUUGCCACUUAUCACGCCAUCUCCCCUCCCUCUCGAAUACAGUCGUCUCCCAGUCGUUUGUCCGGCAUUUUCAUAAGCCGGUGGAUGGUGUUAUUUUUUCCCCUCUUUCUCACACGGUCUGCUCACAUCAGUCCACACGGCCAGUCGUGACUCCGCGCUCUCGCCCUCCCCGAAGUCAUUCCAACCGUCUCUGCCACGGCACUGACAGGCACCUGCACCAUGCGCACACUGAAAGACAGCAGUUGGAUGAAGUUUGGGCCGGCCGGCCGGGGAACCUACGACUGGGUGACGGGGGCUCCGUCGCCCCCAUCUCUGGAGAAGCAACUCCAGGGUUACCACUGGAAUGAGCUCUCCAACAAUGAGGACACCAAGUCAGAACUGAUCCUCUACAUCGCCCUAUCGGCCACGACCCUCCUCGCUUUCUGCUUCUUGUGUUUCCUUCUCUUCCGGAGGUGUUCGCAGAGCAAGCUGAGCCUAUCUAACAUCAUCGCGCUGGACUUCCAGGACGCUGAGAGCGGCGUCGAGAUCCUCUCCUCGUUGACCAGUAGGUGCGAGAGGCUUCCGAGCACCAGCUCCGACGUGUCCGAAGGAGUCUUCCUCAUGGUGUACCUCCCGCCGCCCUACGAGGACACGCUCACCAAGAUCACCCGCGCAGCAAGCCUCACCAGCUCCAAAGACGUUGAGUCGAUGAAGAUAGAAGACCUGGAGGCCAAGUUGUGCCCGGAGAUCAAAUCUAGCGGGCGCUAUGUGUGACUGAUGGGCUGGCGGUCAAAUUAGACAUUCAACCGCUAAUUUCAAUUAAGAUUUGUGUCAAUCUACAUGUAUUUUUCACAGAUUAAUGCCCACCUGUCGUUAUGUAACGUGAACACAAAAGGAGAACGAACUGUGCUAGGCAAAGGGAUUCCAACAGCAGUAAUUUAUGGCGCUGGAAACCACACGGCUAUCUCUGGAUUACUUGUAAGCCAUCCGAGCAGCUAAAAGAUGUUGCUCUUGGUGAUUAUGCCACUGGAACGCUCACACUCAGGAGAAUGGUCUACCAUGCAGACUCACCAUGGUAUGAGAUCCAAGGAAGCAAGACUGUAGGACGUUGGGUUAGAUAAGCAGUCAGCGCAGAGGAUCAAUUUAUGGACGUGUAACACCAUAUACAAAAUGCAUUUGGUCUAAAAUAAUCCUUUAAGUCUAGAUGUCACAUUUCCCCCUUCUUUGAUUCAGGCCUGUGGCUUGUCUGGUUCAGAGGGAACUAAAUGUGAGAGGGGAGGCGAUGUAAGUGGAAGUUAGCUAUACCCGAGGUGUAAUGACACUUCUUCGUUUCAUUUUUACUUCAUGUUUCCCUUUCACGCGUAUCUAUCUCUCUAUCUUUCUAUCUAUCUAUCUAUCUAUGUAUAUCUAUCUUUCUAUCUCUCUAUUACUCUCUCUCUCUCUCUUUCUCUAUCUAUCUAUCAAAAUUGACUUUGAGUAUGAUCACAUUAUAUCAUCCUUUGAUCCUUUCUAAUUACUCUAUUAAAUAACCUGUCUGAUAAAAUUGAUUGUAACAUUGAUUGUAAUACCGAUACAAUGAAUUAAAAAAUCCUUUUAUUAAAGGAUUCUUUUGAUUCACAUAAUACCAUGUCUCAUGUGUAUUUCUGAUUCGAUUUUAUGGAGACCUAUAUGUAUGGAGGCCUAGCCUAUUUAAUGCUUAAAAACACCAUGCAUUCUAAAGUAGACUUCCUGUCCUGUCAGUGGAUCAUUUCAAAUAGAACCUUUCAGGUCAAAUACCAAAUAGAACCUUCACCAUGGUAAUGGAAGCCACUCAUAUUGUGAAACUCAGAAUCAUACUCUGGCACAUGCUGAGUCAUUGAACAGGCCAAUGUCAAAUGUAGCCAGUUUCAUUUAUCCUCAAAAUCAGUCUUAGAAGAAGAAGUCUUCUAAGUAACAGGAAGAUGAUGAUGAUGAAGAAGAAGAAGUUUUCUAAGUGAAGAAUCAGUAAUACUGUCACUAGUGUUUUUUGUCAAACCAAAACUGUAACACAUUAAAGAUAUUAGCUGGCUUGAGUAGGCUCAGUACUUACUCCAAGUUCUCCUAAUUUACUGAAACUUGAUCGUUGUUCCUCAAUUGUGAUUGCUUUGAAUAAAAGUGUCUGCCAAAUGAAAUUAGUACA
ensembl:lncRNA